rnacentral:rRNA from 1 species
AUUGAACGCUGGCGGCAGGCCUAACACAUGCAAGUCGAACGGUAACAGGAAGACGCUUGCUUCUUUGCUGACGAGUGGCGGACGGGUGAGUCAUGUCUGGGACACUGCCUGAUGGAGGGGGAUAACUACUGGAAACGGUAGCUAAUACCGCAUAACGUCGCAAGACCAAAAAGGGGGACCUUCGGGCCUCUUGCCAUCGGAUGUGCCCAGAUGGGAUUAGCUAGUAGGUGGGCUAACGGCUCACCUAGGCGACGAUCCCUAGCUGGUCUGAGAGGAUGACCAGCCACACUAGAACUGAGACACGGUCCAGACUCCUACGAGAGGCACCAGUGGAGAAGAUUGCACAAGGGGCGCAAGCCUGAUGCAGCCAUGCCGCGUGUAUGAAGAAGGCCUUCGGGUUGUAAAGUACUUUCAGCGGGGAGGAAGGGAGUAAAGUUAAGACCUAUGCUCAUUGACGUUACCCGCAGAAGAAGCACCGGCUAACUCCGUG